rnacentral:rRNA from 1 species
GAUGAACGCUGGCGGCGUGCUUAACACAUGCAAGUCGAACGGAAAGGCCCAAGCUUGCUUGGGUACUCGAGUGGCGAACGGGUGAGUAACACGUGGGUGAUCUGCCCUGCACUUCGGGAUAAGCCUGGGAAACUGGGUCUAAUACCGGAUAGGACGAUGGUUUGGAUGCCAUUGUGGAAAGUUUUUUCGGUGUGGGAUGAGCUCGCGGCCUAUCAGCUUGUUGGUGGGGUAAUGGCCUACCAAGGCGUCGUCGGGUAGCCGGCCUGCGAGGGUGUACGGCGACAUUGGGACUGAGAUACGGCCCAGACUCCUACGGGAGGCAGCAGUGGGGAAUAUUGCACAAUGGGCGCAAGCCUGAUGCAGCGACGCCGCGUGGGGGAUGACGGCCUUCGGGUUGUAAACUCCUUUCGCUAGGGACGAAGCGUUUUUGUGACGGUACCUGGAGAAGAAGCACCGGCUAACUACGUG